UUGAUUUCUUUGGGUUGAAAUAAGGUAUGAAAAUCUUUUCUACAAAAAUGAGUACCUCGUGGCCAUUUACAUUUUUUAAAAGUAGCUCUCACAAGAAAAAAAGUUGGUGACCCCUGCUGGAGACAUUACGGGUGAGCCUGUUAGGUCUAACAAAUACAAUACAUACUGUAUGUACUGUAUGUGAAUGUGUGCCUUACCUCUUUGCCCGUCAGGAUGUGUCGUGCCAACUUGACCUUGGCAAAGUUCCCUUUGCCGAUGGUCUUGAGUAAACGAUAGUUGCCGAUGUGCGGCUGCUCGUCAGAGCAGGAGGCGAUUGAGUUCCUGCACCGGGCGCCAAGAGAACGACUGGACUGACUUGUAGCCUUGUCCGAACGGCUGGCCCCCAGCAACACAUGCUGCAAAAAAUGAAAGAGUGGGCUUUAAAGAAAGACGGGGGUCACACAUUGCCAAUAACAAUGUCACCUAAAGCAGAGAAAUGAACAAGGACCUCCAGGGCCACCCACUCCUGAAGACCGCUAAUGAUCCUGAAGAUCUAAAUGAUCUGUGAGAGUGUGGGCAUCCACAAUCUGGUUUUGAACUCUAAAGAUUAAAAACAACAACUAGUAAUGCUAUGCUAAUGCUCAGACAACAGACAGUAUCUGCUGUAAUAAUGGAAAUCACAGACAUGUUCAUUUCAUUUUACUGCAGCAGUGGCCAACCCUCAAUUAUUCUGACCACACAAUUUAUGUACAAUGCUGGAGAAAUAUUUGAUCCCCUGACGAUUUCAAAGUUUACCCCCCUUACAAAGACAUGAACAAUCCAUAAUUUUUUUGGUUGCUUUAUUUUGAUUGAAAUAAGUAUUCAAUCUCCUACCAACCAUCAAGCAUUCUGACCCCACAGAUGGGCUAUGUGCCCACGAAACACAGAAAUCAGUCCUGUCCCUUUAGGGACAAGGUUGCAGACCUGCAAAAGACUGACCAUGGACUACAAGACCACCAGCAAGAAGCGCUUGACGUCAGGCUGUCCAGCUCUGUGCCAACACCAGAGCCUUCCUUCCUCACCAGUUUGUCCACGCGUGUGGCAUCCUCCUUCUUGAGACUGCUCCCCCAGCACACUACUGCAUACGGGAGGGCACUAGCUACCACAGCUAACUUUACUGUAUCCUUUGUACUCUACUGUACUGCAGUGUACCACAGCACAGGACAAGACUUCACCACAUUGAGGCACCAACAUACCGACAACUGUUGGCCUUUGUUAAAAUAAGGCUCCCAAAAAUGAGUGUUCAUAUUAUUGUACGGGCACAGGGGAUCAAAUACUUAUGUCCCCCCCGUAUGACAGCCCUCACUGACUAUCAAGUUAUUUAUAAAGAAUGAGUCUUACAAAGGAGAAGGGGAUGUGGGGGGGUUGUGCACAUAAAGCGUACUGUAAUGUGUUACAGUCUGAAGCAUCCUCUUGUAAACAAAAGCCAAAACCAGGAGGCAGAAGAACCAGGAUGUCAGGGAGAUAAGUGGAUGAGGUGCACAGAGACAAACAAAUAAA